rnacentral:rRNA from 1 species
CCUACGGGAGGCAGCAGUGAGGAAUAUUGGUCAAUGGACGAGAGUCUGAACCAGCCAAGUAGCGUGAAGGAUGACUGCCCUAUGGGUUGUAAACUUCUUUUAUAUGGGAAUAAAAUGUUCCACGUGUGGGAUUUUGUAUGUACCAUAUGAAUAAGGAUCGGCUAACUCCGUGCCAGCAGCCGCGGUAAUACGGAGGAUCCGAGCGUUAUCCGGAUUUAUUGGGUUUAAAGGGAGCGUAGGUGGAUUGUUUAGUCAGUUGUGAAAGUUUGCGGCUCAACCGUAAAAUUGCAGUUGAAACUGGCAGUCUUGAGUACAGUAGAGGUGGGCGGAAUUCGUGGUGUAGCGGUGAAAUGCUUAGAUAUCACGAAGAACUCCGAUUGCGAAGGCAGUUCACUGGACUGCAACUGACACUGAGGCUCGAAAGUGUGGGUAUCAAACAGGAUUAGAUACCCGAGUAGUC